UAAUCCUAGAGAUUGGGAUGUAUUCUUAUAUAUAGGCUAACAUACCUUCACUUCCUCAACCAUCUCUCUGGGUCUGCUUGAGUCUCCCCUAGGCCCCCCUACCCUCCAAACUGAUGCGCAGUGCCUCAGGCAACCCCAACAAGCCCUGCAAUGCCGGGGCCCAGGCGUUUGAAGUGAGGUUUGCUGCGUGGAAUUUUCUGCUACAGUUGUGUUAUGACUUGAAGGUCUGUGAGAUGCUUGACGGCGGAGAGAAGAAAACUUGCUGUAGGACUUCCUGAAGGGCAAGAGCAAAGCAAGAGCGAGCCACUCGGCGUAAUCAGAUGCCGAACAGAGGGAUGCUGCCAGGAGACAGAGGAGUGAGGAGGGUUUGAUGAAGACAACCAGUCAGAAGGUAGUUUCCUGAGGACGGUUUCCAUGCGCUGCUCCUGAGCGCUGCGAGCGGGACGAGUGUUUAGGGAGCGCCGCAGUGGGAAUAGCAGGGAAGCGUGGCCGCAGGGAGAGGGCAGCAGAGGCUCGAGCUCACAGCAGCGGCAGGAAGGAAGGAAGGAAGGUGGGAAAACCCCCAGCUCCAGCCCCAGC